GUACUUAUAGCGAUUAUUAUGUCAAGGCUUUUGCCGCUGACCAGGAAUUUAAUAGGCGCGUCCCCGAUCAUCGCCCGGGUUAUAGCAUUCCCCGUUCUUUUAGCUAUUGUUA